rnacentral:lncRNA from 1 species
AGAUAUAGCUCAAGAUACAACCUCUAGUAAAUCGGGUCACUUACUACCCUUAGAUUGAAUGCAUUGACUUCAAGUUCCAAUAACUCCUUCAUCCCAAUAUGGAAUCCAACAAGCAGUAUUUGAAAAGUAUAGCCGCAAAAGUACUCUCUCUAGUUGCAGUUGCCGAUCCUCAAUUGCUAUCUGUAUGCGUGCGUAAUGCCAAAAAGAGUGACAGUAGCUUCCAAAUCAACACCUUAACUUUGAG